rnacentral:rRNA from 1 species
GGGGCGGUCGCCUCCUAAAGAGUAACGGAGGCGCUCAAAGGUUCCCUCAGAAUGGUUGGAAAUCAUUCAUAGAGUGUAAAGGCAUAAGGGAGCUUGACUGCGAGACCUACAAGUCGAGCAGGGUCGAAAGACGGACUUAGUGAUCCGGUGGUUCCGCAUGGAAGGGCCAUCGCUCAACGGAUAAAAGCUACCCCGGGGAUAACAGGCUUAUCUCCCCCAAGAGUUCACAUCGACGGGGAGGUUUGGCACCUCGAUGUCGGCUCAUCGCAUCCUGGGGCUGUAGUCGGUCCCAAGGGUUGGGCUGUUCGCCCAUUAAAGCGGUACGCGAGCUGGGUUCAGAACGUCGUGAGACAGUUCGGUCCCUAUCCGUCGUGGGCGUAGGAAAUUUGAGAGGAGCUGUCCUUAGUACGAGAGGACCGGGAUGGACAUACCUCUGGUGUACCAGUUGUCGUGCCAACGGCAUAGCUGGGUAGCUAUGUAUGGACGGGAUAAGUGCUGAAAGCAUCUAAGCAUGAAGCCCCCCUCGAGAUGAGAUUUCCCAACUUCGGUUAUAAGAUCCCUCAAAGAUGAUGAGGUGAAUAGGUUCGAGGUGGAAGCGUAGCGAUACGUGGAGCUGACGAAUACUA